UUUUUUUUUUUUUUUUCCAGUCCAGCAUUGUGCCUGGUGCUGUCGAGCUAAUAAAUGCCAUUUAAAUAUUCAUGCAAUGUUCGUUACAGUGAACUCUAAUGUCACCCCACAGCAGUCCAUUGAACUCGAACAAUAACGAGAAGUGAAUAAACAAAUUGAUCCAGGGUCGUGACCUGCGGUCUGUGCAACAGGUUUGGACAUAAACACCAGGUCCAGUUUCAGAGAAUAUUUCUUAUAUCAAUCAUGCCGAGUCCAGCAGAGACGUUCAGAUGAUUUAAAUGUGCUUGUUCCAGCCCCAGACUCUCAGAGGGAUCACAGCCAUUACAUUCUGUGCCACAGGAAGGAACUGCCUUGUUCUGUUUGCCGUAUCGCCCAUGCCAGAUCUUUUAACUCGACUGAUUUUCCAUCAACAGUUGGGCUUGAAAGAGCAAUAAAAGAGUUAAUCAGAUGCAUUGGUUGACAUUUAAUGAGGGUAUAACUCAAUGAUCUGCACGUCAGAUGACAGCUAAACAUUGCCCUCUCCUGGAUAUAUAACUGGAAUCUCUUGCUUGAUGAGCCAAGAAGCGUUGGGCUCCGGUCCAGGAGAACGAGUCUAUGUCUAGACACACAGGUGCAGAUCUCUGCUGUCUGAACGCUUGAUUCUCCCGGCCCUGUGUGUCACAGCGAGCACAGCUUCAGCAGGACACACCCUGUCCCACACUGACUUCCCCCAGUGGCUUUCACUGUGCAGAAACCAAAGCUAAAGCCAUACACUCUGGACCACAGCCAGACACUGG
ensembl:lncRNA